CUGAUGGGAAAAGCUACCGAAAUCAACAACAUUAAGAGUUAUAGAAGGACAUAGUUCAAUUGACAUCUUGUUUCAAAGAAUUACACUAGUUGAGCUUGUAAAAUCAUGCCAAGCAUCAAUUGAAUCAUCAUCAACGACAGUUCUAUUAUCAGCUGUCAUGUUACCGCAGCUGUUCUUGUGCUGAAUCCAAUCAAUAUGCAUGGAAGAAAAUUAUCUGUGCUCCCUGAUGUUCUGUGAUCCUUAUUAUUUAAGGAAUGAUCAUGCUGAACAGCUACCCCAAUAAUGGAUCUACUCCAUAGAAUUUUACAUUUCAGGAAAUGUUCAUGUGGGAAGAAAGCUCAACUGAAGAAAAUCUCACAAAAGGACAAGUUUUUGGGAUCCCUGUUGUUGAGUUCCAUUAUCAGCAGAUACAUAUCUGACAAAAGGAUCAGAAAAUUUGGAUUCCUGUUGAUGCGUUCCAGAACCAGCAGAAUCAGCCUAACAACGAGAAAAUGAGUCACCACUUUCAUCUUCCUUAGAGAACUUCCUCUGAAUGUUUGACAUUCUCAAACAAGCUAAGAUUUCCCUGAUUACUUCCAUUGGCAUUCUCAUGUUUUUCCAAUGCAAGCUGUUCCUCAGUAGAUGUAGAAACAGAGUCUACCUUAGCUUCAGUAAAAAAGUUAUCCAGAUCAACUCCUGCUGAACUCAGAGUACUCACCGGCUGAGCUGGUUUGUUUUCAGAAACAGUACUCUCAAAUUCCUUAGGCUCAGAAGGCCAUCUUAUUUCUAAAUCUAGAAGAUCGGAUAAGGGAAAUUCAGUUUUUGGUGUACUUUGACCUCUGUUAGAUUCAUUUGCUUUAAU
rnacentral:lncRNA from 1 species